rnacentral:rRNA from 1 species
AGUGGCGAACGGGUGAGUAACACGUGGGUAAUCUGCCCUGAAGUUGGGGACAACUCGCUGAAAAGCGAGCUAAUACCGAAUGAGAUAGUCUUUACAUAUGUGAGGAUUAUGAAAGGUGUCGGCCGCUUCAGGAUGAGCCUGCGGUCUAUUAGCUAGUUGGUGAGGUAAAUGCUCACCAAAGCUACGAUAGAUAGCCGGCCUGAGAGGGUGUACGGUCACAUUGGAACUGAGACACGGUCCAGACUCCUACGGGAGGCAGCAGCUAAGAAUAUUCCGCAAUGGGCGAAAGCCUGACGGAGCGACGCCGUGUGGUUGAUGAAGGCCUUACAGGUUGUAAAAACCUUUUAUUCGAGAAGAUGGGCAAGCCUCGAGCUUGCUUGACGGUAUCGAACGAAUAAGCCCCGGCAAAUUACGUGCCAGCAGCCGCGGUAAUACGUAAGGGGCUAGCGUUGUUCGGAAUUAUUGGGCGUAAAGGGCGUGCAGGCGGACUAAUAAGUCGGGUGUGAAAUCUUAUGGCUUAACCAUGAGCUAUUGCUCGAAACUGUUAGUCUAGAGUUUGGAAUAGGGAGACGGAAUUCCUAGUGUAGGAGUGAAAUCUAUAGAUAUUAGGAAGAACACCGGUGGCGAAGGCGGUCUCCUGGUCUAAAACUGACGCUAAAGCGCGAAAGCUAGGGUAGCAAACGGGAUUAGAUACCCCGGUAGUCCUAGCCGUAAACGUUGCAUACUAGGUGUAUGAGGUGUCGAUCCCUCAUGUGCCAAAGCUAACGCGUUAAGUAUGCCGNCUGGGGAGUAUGCUCG